GGGAAAUUUGACAGCACGUAUACUAAAACUGGAACAAUACAGAGAAGAUUAGCAUGGCCCCUGCGCAAGGACGACACACAGAUUCGUGAAGUGCUCCAUAUUUUG